rnacentral:rRNA from 1 species
UACGUAGGGGGCGAGCGUUGUCCGGAGUUACUGGGCGUAAAGGGCAUGCAGGCGGUCCGACACGUUUUGUGUGACAGCGGGUGGCUUAACUACCCGAGGAUACGAAAGACGGUAGGACUUGAGGACUCGAGAGGGACACGGAAUUCCGGGUGGAGUGGUGAAAUGCGUAGAGAUCCGGAGGAACACCGAAGGCGAAGGCAGUGUCCUGGCGAGUGACUGACGCUGAGGUGCGAAAGCCAGGGGAGCGAACGGG